rnacentral:rRNA from 1 species
UACGAAGGGGGCUAGCGUUGCUCGGAAUCACUGGGCGUAAAGCGCACGUAGGCGGACUCUUAAGUCGGGGGUGAAAUCCUGGAGCUCAACUCCAGAACUGCCUUCGAUACUGGGAGUCUUCGAGUUCGGGAGAGGUGAGUGGAACUGCGAGUGUAGAGGUGAAAUUCGUAGAUAUUCGCAAGAACACCAGUGGCGAAGGCGGCUCACUGGCCCGAUACUGACGCUGAGGUGCGAAAGCGUGGGGAGCAAACGGG